rnacentral:lncRNA from 1 species
UCCCCUCUUCUUAAUACCGAUUCUGCGGCGCUCAACAACCAUUUCCUCCUUUUUUUGCACCUUCAGGUAUCUCCUUCUUCUUCCUCUCCUUUUUACACCUUCAAUGUCACAUUUAACGUUAGAUCUAACACUUUUUCACUCGUUCCACUCCUUUUCGUUCAUUUUGUUUAGAUCUCUGCGUUUCUAUUACCUAUACGUUGUUUUUUCUCAAUUCAUUACUAUUUUUCGUGUAAUUUUGAUAAUAUUGCACAAUUUUUAGUCGAUUAAUUUCCUGAUACUAUAAUAAGUAAUUUUUUACUGUUGUAUUUGGCACUUGCGUUUGUUUUGUGUUCAUUAUUCAACAUUCAUGGCUUCUCUAUCAGAUCUAAAGAUGAAUCUCGUUUUUCAGUAUUUUUUUUGGAUUAUUGUCUCUGUAACACUUUUGAUAGAACGUGUGUCCCGUGUUCGACAUGAAUAAUUUGUCAUUACAUUCAGUUAAUUCAUGUACCGUGUCAAUGUGUCAGGGUUGUGUAUGUGUCUUCAUAGAUUUUUGCCGAAUCUCACACGAAGUUACAGACUUUCAUUGUUCAUUUAUUAUAACACCUGAUUCAUACUUUUGCGAAUGUGUAUUUUUCUGUUGCGGAUCUCAUUUCUUCAGUUUGAGUUUAUGUCUGCAUUCAAAGCAUGCUACAUGUGUGUUGUGUUAAGAAUGAAUGACUGUCUGUUUUUUAUUUUAUUUUUUAUUAAAUAAAUAAAAUUUGUGUCAGUUUCAACUGUGUGAUAUAAUGAAUUUGUUUUAUAAGUAGAUUUUGACAACAUGGUUAGAAAGUGGUGUAUAUAUUUGGUUUUUGUAAUACAACUUAAUCAAGUGGAGCGUAAAACAGAGAGAAAAUCCAUUCAAGACGGCAAUUUCUAAUUUAAUGUUGUUUGAGAAAGCUGAACAAUCUGUACACUUGAGUUGUUACACAAUCGGUUGAUAUUAUUUAAGAGAGAAAAGGGAUAUGCCGUAUAAACUUAGUCUUAUGUUCAAUACUUUGCAAUUUUUUUUAAUUACAUUUACAAAGUGGCUUUGCAAAGUGAAUGACUUUUCAAUAUAUUUUUUUUGACGGAGACCUUUCUAAUAUUAUAAUGUAUCAAUAAACAAUGUGUUAGUGGCUUUUGUAUUUUUUUGACCUGAUGAAUGUACUUUUGAAUUAAAAAAAUAAAGAAUAAUGUAUAUACUUUGCACUUGGUGGGUAGAAAAAUAUUUAGGACUUUCCAUUUAUGCUCGUGGACGGUAUAUUUAUUUGUUUUUGGAGAUUUUAUCAAAUUGGGUAAGGUUUAAUUAAUGAUUCUUGUAGGAUUGUCACAAUCACACAGUAACUUUGAUAACUUUGAUUCGUCUUACAAAAUUUACCUUCUUUUAACUUUCAUUUCCAAUUUUAGUUAUUAUUAUUUUUAAAAUUCUACACUACAACUGGUGGUAAACAAGUAUUUUUGUUUUUCUAAAACUUGUUUAAUAAUAAAUGCGAUUAAUUUCUUUCCUUACAAAAAUGAAUAAUAAAAAUAUGAUGAAAGUAUCCCUAAAAAAAUAUAAUGAAAGCAAACAUCACGUGAAAGAUCUGGACCCAUGUCAUGUGAAGAAUAUAUUUGCUUGCAGGAAACAUCAGAAGCGUAUAGUUUGGUAAGAUGUUACGUGCAGGGACCAUUGAUUAUUUUUUCUUUUUGAGGGGAGGGACCAUUGAUUUGGGUAAUAAGGGAGCUUUGGAUUUUUUGGUAUUGGACCAUUGGUUUUAUUGUCACAUAAAGGGUCCAUAUCAAUUAAUUUUGGACCAUUGAUUUUAUUGUCACAUAAAAGGGUACAUUGCAAUUAAAUUUGACACUGUACAUUUAUAAAAAAACAAAAUAAAACUGACGCACUGUCUACCAGAUUAGAUUAAUUUUCGGUUACAACAGAUUGGUAUCCUUUUUUUUUUUUUUUUUGAGGGAACAGAUUGUCACAUAAAGGGUCCAUAUCAAUAAAUUUUCUAAUGAAUUAAAACAUGAUAAUUUUUUUAAUUAAAAUGUACAGUUCAAUAAAAAAAGCAUGUUUUUUAAUACCAAAAUUAGUAGUUUCUUAAACCAAUAUUCUAAACAUUAUGAUUGUAGUGUUGACAGUAGCCUUAUAUUGCUUACUUGAUUAUGUUAUGUGGAUCAUCUCACAUGUAAUUGGCAUCCCGUGUUUUGUGUACAAAAUAUCUCCACGACAUGACAAUGUGUCACAAUGUUUUUGUUGUUUGUUUAGUGAUCGCAGGUUUUGCAAGCUGUCUUUGUUUACUUUUGAAACAAUAAACUAUUCCCGCGAGUUGUCCGUUAUGAAUCCUCGUGUGGUUGAUAAUCUAUGUGCGUGUUCAUUUAUUCAUUCAUUUAAAAAUACUCCUACAAUAAAAAACCUUACUGUAGGAUGGACCACCAGUCCACCACUAGGCAAAUCAAAUUAAUAUAAGCCAAGCAAAUAAUAAAGUUCACUAUGUAGUGUUUGGUAGUGCUGGGAUUAGAGGCUUAGAGCUGCUUUAUUUGGCACAUGCACAUGCACACCCUGCUUGCGGUGGAGUUUGGAGGUUCUUAUUUUGUUGGAUAGGGUUUGGAGGUUCUGAUUCUUAACAGCCUUAGUUUCUGAAUUUCCAAAGAUAAUGUAUAUAUUAUAUUUUUUAAGAGGCCAAGAGAAAAUAUACGAAUAAAAGAGAGGAGGUCUAAUUAAGCACAAGAUGUGUCUCUAAAGAGGACUCAAAAUUAAGUCUCAGUAAAAACUAUAUAAUAAAUAAUGAUUACAUACACACACUUAAUUAUUAUUAUAAAUAUAAUUUAUUUCAUUUCGUUUCGCACACUAUAAAUAGUAUUCACUUUUGUAAAUUAAGGAGAGUAAUGUUGAAAAAAACUUAUUUUUAUUUUAUAAAUACAGAAAAUAGUGUAAAUAUGGGAUUGAAUAGUAGUAUACAAACAUCAAUGUUUUGUUGAGAAACUAGAAGGUGUUGGCCAUACGAAAUAAUUCUUAGUAAGAUUUGAUUUGUUAUGUGGUAGCAAAUAAUAAUGUAAGUGUUAAAGGAGGAUGUUGGAGUUGGAGGGAUAACUUCUGGAGAAAUGACUUAUUUUUUUAUCAUAUUGAAGGUUACAAAAUGAUAGAUGUAUGAGGCAGGAUUCUAUUAGAAAUAUUGUUUCGUUUCAGAAAUGACUUAAGUUUGUUUACCAAUAUGGAUAGUGUUGCACACAUGCACUUGAGAACUACACCUUAGUUAUUGCAGUUUUUUCUAUGAAGGACACACACAUUGUUCAUUCUAAUUCUGUAUGCGUCUAGAGACCAUUAUCUAGAUUGAUGAUUUCAGUCUUGUUACUAUGAAUUGUACUAUAAAUUGCAUAUGUAGACCUGUGUUAAAUGAUCAGAGGAGUGUUGUAACAAAAUGCAUUUUCAUAUUAUUGCAGGUUGCUGAAGAUGGGAGCUGGUGGCCGAACCUCUGUUCCUCCUUCGGCUAGGAAGUCAGAGAAUGACACUGUGAAACGGGUGCCAUUUGAAAAGCCUCCAUUUAGUCUCAGCCAGAUCAAGAAAGCCAUUCCACCUCACUGUUUUAAGCGCUCUGUUAUCCAUUCAUUCUCCUAUGUUGUUUAUGACCUCACCAUAGCCUUCUUCCUCUAUUACGUUGCCACCCAUUACUUCCAGCACCUUCCUCGCCCUCUCUCUUUCUUGGCCUGGCCUGCUUACUGGGCUAUCCAAGGUUGCAUCCUUACCGGUGUUUGGGUCAUUGCACAUGAGUGUGGCCACCAUGCAUUCAGUGACUAUCAAUGGCUUGAUGAUACAGUUGGCCUUAUUCUCCACUCUGCCCUUCUUGUGCCUUACUUUUCAUGGAAAUACAGCCAUCGCCGCCACCAUUCCAACACCGGUUCUCUUGAGCGGGAUGAAGUCUUUGUGCCCAAACAGAAGUCCAGCAUCUAUUGGUACUCCAAAUACCUUAGCAACAACCCACUAGGCAGAGUCCUCACCAUUACCAUCACCCUCACUCUUGGCUGGCCCCUUUACCUGGCUCUCAAUGUUUCAGGCAGGCCUUAUGAUAGAUUUGCUUGCCACUUUAACCCACAUGGUCCCAUUUACUCAGAUCGUGAACGUCUUCAAAUAUAUGUAUCAGAUGCAGGAAUACUUGCAGUGUGCUUCGGGCUUUACCAUCUUGC